rnacentral:ncRNA from 1 species
GCCAAGGUGCUCCCCUAAAGGGAGAUAAUAGGGAAACAGGUGCAAGUCCUGUACGAUCCCGUCACUGUAAGCGCGGAGCCUGCCGCUUUAAACGUCACUGGCCUUUGGGCCGGGAAGGCAGCGGAGGGCAAAGAUGCGCAAGUCAGGAGACCUGCCUUGGCCA